CGUGCUCUCAGUGGUGGCACGGCCUCCGUCGGUCUCCUCUGCAGAUGGGCCCCGUGGCCUAGCGUCCGCUCCUCGCCACCCGUAAUCGCGCGCCGAGGCCCGCGGGGGGGCGUCGCCGAGGUUUCCACCAGCCCACAAGCAAGAGCAUGGCAGCCAUCCCCUCCAGCGGCUCGCUCAUGGCUACUCACGACUACUGCCCGCGCCGCCUGGGUUCUACUUCCAGCAACAGCUCCUGCGGAAGUGCCGAGUGCCCCGCGGAAGCCAUACCGCACCCCCCGGGUCUUCCCAAGGCUGACCCGGGUCACUGGUGGGCGAGCUCCUUUUUCGGGAAGUCCACUCUCCCAUUCAUGGCCACGGUGCUGGAGUCCACGGAGCACACGGAACCCCCCCAGGCCUCCAGCGGGAUGACUACCCGUGGCUUGGCUCGGGAAGCGACAAGGAAAGAGCCUGGUGGCCAGUCCAGUAAAGCCAACGCUGGGCCCCCAUCCUGAGCAACCACCACCAGCCCCAGGCCUUGAGGCGCUAGGCUGUCAGAGCCCUCCCUCCCCACCCCUCCCCUUU